CCCAGGGCUGGCAGGGCUCACGGUGGAGCGCUCGGGGCCCGUUCCGUGCGGGGGCUCGUCGUGGAGGAGCGGGACCAGCUGCAGAGCCCGUUGCGGCCGAAGUGGCGCGAGCUGGUGCCGGCUGUGCCAAAGCAGAGGAACCGCCCGGGCCGCUGGAGGUGCUGAGGAAGGGCCGACGAGUUGGUGGUUACUGGGACAACCCGUGGGCUAUAGCUGAGCUCCACCCGCCACCUGUCCAAGGAGCUGCAGCUGAGGAACAAAGUGAAGUGGGAGCAGAAUGCCGGGCUGCAGCACCAGAGGGAGCGUUGGAAGGAGCGCAGCUUGGAGGUGGCGGUGCUGGAGAAGCGUGUCAGUGAGCUGCCAGAGCGCCUGGGGAAGAGAAAGGCAGCUCUGCCCCAGGAGGAGAAGGUACCAGUUUCUUCAGGUGGGAUUUCCCCACAGCCAGUGGCUUCUGCUCCAAGGGGAGUGGCAGCAGUAGGUCCUUCUGUCCAGUCCUCUACUAUUGCUUCCAGACCGGACCUUUGGGUGAAAGCAGCAUUCUCAGGUGGGACACGAGCCUUGCUGGGCAGCUGAGGGGCUGCUAAAAUCACAAACUCCACCCAACAUGGGAGCUGGGAACAGUUCACAAGCUGAAGCUCCUGCAGGUGAGAGCUUACGAUAACUAGUUCUUCUCCGGACAUGUUUUGGUUCCCCUCACAGCUCUGUUUUGGUGUUUCGGGUUCUUUUUUCUGUUUGUUUUUAAAGCAAAGACUUAUUUGCGAUGUGGGUCUCACUACUUGCAAUUUUUUUUUUUAGUUCUCUUAGUGAGCAAUCUGAGUUGUUAGACAGCGUGGACUGCAGAAGGAUUUUUCAGUAAACUGAUUGUUUUUUAAUUUAUUGUAAAGCUCUCCUAAAAACUCCACACUGGUGUGCGUUCACUGCACCUGCACUGGGGGCUGCAGGGAGAAGCAGCUGGGGGGGGGGUUUGCUCUCUGCCCCUUUCCCACCUUCCCCUCUGUUCCCUGGGUCUCCAGGAAAUCCCAGCUCCCCUUGGCUUCUCCAGGGUCCUCGCAGCAGGGUUUCUAAGUGUGGCCCUGAGAUUUUCUGGCCUUGGAACUGAUGGCUGUUUCGGGGCAGGUCUCACCGGGCAGUCUGUCUUUUAACGCUUGCCGGGGCAGGAGAAUUGCGGCGGAAGAAAGCAAAGGAAGCCCAGAGCCUGGAGGAGGCAGGUGCUGAUUG